rnacentral:lncRNA from 13 species
CACCAUGCCCAGCUAAUUUUUUGUAUUUUGAGUAGAGACAGGGUUUCACCAUGUUGACCGAGAUGGUCUCGAUCUCUUGACCUUGUGAUCCACCCGCCUCGGCCUCCCAAAGUGCUGGGAUUACAGGCUUGAGCCACCACGCCCGGCCUUUUUUUUUUUUUUCAUAGAAACUGGUCUUGCUAUGUUACUCAGGCUGUUCUCAAACUCCUGGCCUCAAGCAAUCCUCCCUCCUUGGCCUUCCAAGUGCGGGGAUUACAGGUGUGAGCCACCAUUCCCCAGGUACAGCUAUUAUGAACCCCUUAGCUCUCCCCUUGUUCCCACCAUUCAGACUAGACCUUACUCCUCACUGUCCCAGAGAAACUAGAGCAUAGCCAAGCUGAAAAGAAGAAAACGUUAUUUUUAGCUUUUGAACUCACAGGGACCCUAAAUUCUGUUAAUUCAAGGCUGUUUAAGGAAUUUACACAGGCAAAUUAACUAUAAUGUAAAUUGGGUUUAGGCUUUAGCACCUAAACUUCACAUAAAGCAGAAGUCCCUUUACAUUCUCCUUGAGGCUCAUCCUCCAAAACACUGGAUUUAGGACCCUGAGGACUCACUCAUUGUAAAGGGACCAGUCCAAGUUGCUAACACCAGGCAGAGAGGACCACAGCCACCCUCAAAGUCCAGUCUACAGCUUUGCUGCCACCACAGGGGGCGCUGCAGAACACUGGUGCUGAGAAGUCUGGGGGAACUUCCUCCUCUGCCAAGGCGAUUCCACCUGUGCCUGAGGCCCAAACAGUUCUGGGAAGUGGAAACAAACCAGAAAAAAAAAAAAGGCAUUCUGGGUCCAAGCACAGCACUUUGGGAGGCUGAGGCAGGAGGACUGCUUGAAGCCAGGAGUUUAAGACCAGCCUUGACAAACACAGCAAGAUUCCAUUCUACCAAAAAAAAAAAAAAAAAAGUAAAAAAAAAAAAGAAACAAGUGAGCUGGGCAUGAUGCUGACACUGCAGUCCCAGCUGCUCGGGAGGCUGAGGUGGGAGGAUCAUUUGAGCCCAGGAGUUUCACACUGCACUCCAGCC